ensembl:lncRNA
GACGGAGAAUGCCCUGGACUUCACUCCGUCCCCCCGUCCCCCCCCACCUGGCUUUUGCCUUCCUGUCCUGACGUGAUCCGGAUGUGAAGCUGUGAUUGGCUGCUCGCUUUUCAUAACUUCCUGAGCAAACAAAAACACCAGGCGCUAAGCUGACGGUGCGGGCAGUAGUAUAUAGUCCAUAAAUGUGCAUUUAACUCUUGCGAGGAAUACUAAGAGGGAGGGGGAGCGACGGCUGCUUUGUGGAAGAACUGAGAAGGCGGCGCAAAGUGAAAACAUGGGCAGUGAGCCACCAUCCUCAGCACACUCAGGCAGAGGUUUACCCAGCGAGACGACGGAGUGCUUCAUAUGCAGGGAGGCUGAACUUCAAGCCCGUGACCCGCUGAGGCAUUUCUGCGACUGCAAGAAUUUACUUGCCCAUCACGUGUGUCUGUCCACGUGGAUCCUGAAGGGAUGCGAGAGCGGAAACCGGCUGCGCUGCAUUAUCUGCAAAGCCAAGGGCUCGCAGACUGCAUCAUUCUUUUUAGGGGGAUCAUUUCUUUCUCUUUCUCCGUUUCUUAUUGAUAUGAUGCCAAAAAUAUGCUCCCAGGGCUAUCAUUUUUCUGCGUCCGUUUGCAAAAGCGGAGGCCUAAGAGGAUUUAUCUUCGUGACCCAUCACACAAAGACAAUGAGCCGCAGAAUAGCGGCGUCCGACUGGGAGGACCGAGAGUGGGCGCACCCAGCCGUCCUCAGGCGUCCCUCUAAAGGCGGCCUCAUGUUACAGUACCAGCUGCAGAGGACCUCUCCAUGGCGCUCGGUGAGCUCCCAGUGGCAGACGUGGCUGAUGCUGAUCACCGGCUUGGCUUUAAUGGGUCUGGUACCUUAUGUAGUUCACUGCAUGAUGACUGCCUUCACCAGGCCUCCUCCGCCCACCACCUUCAAAGUGGCAGCCGCUGCUUAUGGUCUGCUGGCAGAGAUCCUGCUGAUCAAGUGUCUGUGCAGCUACCUCAGCGGCUGUUACCGGCGGGCGGAGCAAAGCGCGUUCACGAUCCGGGCCAGAGGCCCCGAGGAGCACGGGACGAGCCUGGCCUGCUGAAAGCGGUCCGAGGCCUCAGCAGAGGCAGGCCGCGCUUCACCGGAGGGGGAAAGUGGACGAAAGGAAAGAGGGGACGUCUCGGCUUCUUCUGGACCAGUAACCAGGAAACGGGUUGAGAGUAAAUCCUGUGGAUGGUACCCACGGACAACAGCUUCGCCGUGGCAGUCACGAGAUCGAACACUUUAAAACCUAUUUUAGAGGCAAACACAUUCACAUUCCAUCGGUAUGUUUUUCACUUAUUGCAAAUUGACCAAAAAGAAGCUAAUGCAUGCAGCUUGCUCGAGUGUGCUUGAGGGAAAAGGGAAGCAAAACCGCCUGGAAUCACUCUCUUUCCUCAGCGAUGUCCACACAGAGACAAUGGGGCGCCGCUCUGAUUAGUGUCACCUGUCCUUGUGCAUCUCAUCAGCGCCGUAAUGGCUCCAUCUCCCGUGCUUCUGCAGCUAAUUGAAUGGCCUGUGAAGUGGUUUGACGAGGACGGGGCGAGAGCAACGUCUGUCCAGCUGCUACUUCAGAAACGAGUGAAGCUUCCCAGCGAAAGAUUACCGUAGUCCUUAAAACGUGAACCAUUGCCGCGGAGAUGGAGGAGGGGCCGACAAGUAGCCCUCCUGUUGUAGAAGCCUCAUUUUGUCCAUGGGUCACAGUAAUAAAUAAAAGCUUUUAUUUAGCACAUACUGUAUGUUUUUCAUGUGGGGGCAGGGGGUUAUUGUUAGAGUAACGAAAUUCCAGCGGCACAGAAACUCAGGUGGCGGCUUUUGAACACCUGCUGUCUCUCAGACACACGCCGUCGAGAAGGAACAAAAAGGGCUCUCGAUCUCUCGAGGUUCUACAACGAGCAGACAUGCAGGAUCGUAGAUCGGCUCAAUCUGGAACACGCAUGUAUCUUUGUGGGCAACAUCUUGGAGACAGUUUGGACCGAUCACUGUGCCACAUGCAACAUGUUAUUCCCCCUUUGGCUGGAUUAGUGACGCCGGCGAAACGGGUCAGCAGAGCCGCUCGUAGUGAGUGUGGUCUUGUAACGUGAGGCCUGUUGGAGUCUUACAUCGACGGCAUGAAGGGUCACCUCCUUUAUUAAAAGUUCCGUGAUAGAUGAGGCGUGGAAGACCGAAAAAUGGAGAUCAAAAGAGUUCUUCAUGUGGGAGGUAAAAAAGCCUUUUGCACCGUUGACAACGAACAGAGAAAAACCACAAAGAGAAAUAUAUCAUUGUUGUGACAACAGGGUAGAUGAGACCAGCACGGGGAAGCUAACGUGUACUAAUGGUGGUGGGAGGGUUGGGGGGGGGGAGAAUACUCUGUCAGUAACAGAGCGUCCUUUGCUAAUGAGCUAAAUGUUUAUUACAGUCGGUUUGACUCUGUGGGGCCAGUGUGGGCCAGUGUGAAGCCAGAAGAAGGCCACUGGCCCAGACGGACUACAGGCACAUGUCCUUAAAGACCCAAUUAAAAAGAGUCUUUACAAGGUUAUUCCAGUACUUGUUAAAAAGACGCACAGUGCCUAAAAUCAGGGGAUCAUUAUGUCCGUGCCCAUAAAGCCAAACGCGUGUGUACUGAAUGACCAGCUCCGCCCCAAGGAGAGCGUUCUAACUCCCUCUGCGCUGCAGAUGAUACUCUAGAUACGAGCUGUAUUACAUUUGUUCAGCUUCUACCUCUAUGCAGAGAGUCUCCAUCCGUGUAACAAUGUCCGGUCGCACAGGUACUCCUGGCGAUGCCCCCCCCCCCCCCCGCACGCACGAAUGAAUUCAAGGGUUUGUCUUCAGAUAUGCGGAUUUGGGACGUGGCCCAAACACUCCAAAGUAGCAAUUGAAGGUGGUCGAUGAGACUGCAGAUGUGAUCAUUUGGGCCGUUGGGAGUUUGAACGUUUCAGGGGUCUCGGCACGCUUGUGGACUCCCAGUUUCACGGAAAAUACAAAGUAUAUUUUGAAGAAAUCAGAAAACCCUGAUUGAAAACGUUUUAACAUUCCACUCGACUUGACUUGUGUCACCUGCACUGCAGGCUGAUGAACGAGCGAGCAGGACCGGUUGGCGUAGUGAGCGUUAUGAUUGAGAAGCCGAGUGAGCUGUGGACCCUCCGGGAGCGCAGAGAAAGCCCUCAUUUUCUGACAGCGCUUUAUUUUCUCCAGCAACCAAACAUCCCUUUUAAAAGGCCUUUUAUUCCAAGUGCAAUCAGCACUUUAAACAUUUCUUCUAGAUGUUAUUCGUCUGAUGUUCUUGUGUUUUGGUACGUCAGUUUCACUCUGUCAGCUCCCAACACCGUACCUCAUAGAGGUCACCGAUAUGCAGGUUUUUAUUUUGGGCGGUGGGACUAGUUUUGAAGAAUCUCAAUGUCUUUGUGCUUUUGGACUAUUUUCAGUUGUGAAUUAAUAGGCUUUUGGUGUUCUUAUUGAGUAUCAGGGGCAUCAGGAGAGCAUAUGAGGGAUUGACUAAUUACAAUCUGCAGUGCUUUUUUUUAUGGUAAGAAUCCACAUCCACUAGAAGAGUGGAUACAAAGAUAAACACACUAUUUAGGCCUUUUCGUGGGUUUGUUGAGUACAGCAGGCUUGUUAAAGGACACAUAUUCAUACUUUUGGAGAUCAGGGUCAAGACUUUUACCCUUUUCAUUAAAGGUCGACGCCUUCGAUUUCUCCUUGAGCCAAUUGUCCAUUGGAGUGCAAACACAAGCGAUCGGGCCACAUCUUCAAAACCCUUUGGUUAAUGGUCAUGUUUUUACUGCAUGCUUUCGGUUAUUGAGUUGUUCUGUGCAAAAUUAACGCUGAUAAAAAUAUCCUGAUGGAAUCAUCUGACUUCUUUGCCCCCAAGAGACAUAGAAAAGUGUUCUCCUCAAUGCAUAAUGUUAUCCUUCAAUGUACUGCAACAAAUGCUCCUCUAUAAAACAAUUGCAUGUAGAAUUAAAUAAAUGUCAGUAUGGAAAAACGGAGUCUGCCUCUCUAUCUGAUGUUUGCACUGAGUCAUCUUCUAUCUGUGUUUGGUCAAGCGACGGUACAUAAUAUAUUUUUUCCAGAUCUGCAAAAGAGGAAAAAAAAAAAAAGUAUUUUAUUUUGAUUGGAUAAACAUUGCCAGCUGUGAAGCAGGGCUGUAAUGUUGGUACCGCUCCCGCCAGGCAGGAGCUCUGCCGUUUUCUGCCUGUGCCUGAGGCUCAGCUAAUGUAAAAAGAUCCUCCCCACUCUGCC